UGACAUUUUUGCCAAAACAGUUUUUUUCUCUCGAUGCCGGUGAAAAGCUUGCAGGGGAACCCAAAAUUUGAACAGCCUGAAAUGCAUAAUCAUCAGGUUUCAUCGAAUACGCGGUAAUUUCACCGCCUCGUAUGCCGGUAACACACCACUUCGAACAGCGCUUGUGAAUCUUGGGAAGGUAAAAUUGUUGAAAUGAUCCUGAAAACGCAUCUCAAAAUAUCCCGCCUUCCACCCUCGAUAAUGGAGGAGACCGUGACAAGAUCAUCCGUUCACUGUACUAUUAGACGAAUAUUGUUCUUGACUGCUAUUGAUGAAUUCCUCAAUUAUUUUGAGAAAAUAUAUAAAUAAUCUUAGAAGAUCGUAGUAAAGCAAUAUAAGGCAAUAAACGAAAAUAA